rnacentral:rRNA from 1 species
CCUACGGGUGGCUGCAGUGAGGAAUAUUGGUCAAUGGGCGCGAGCCUGAACCAGCCAAGUAGCGUGAAGGAUGACUGCACUACGGGUUGUAAACUUCUUUUAUAAAGGAAUAAAGUGAGGCACGUGUGCCUUUUUGUAUGUACUAUAUAAAUAAGGAUCGGAUAACUCCGUGCCAGCAGCCGCGGUAAUACGUAGGAUCCGAGCGUUAUCCGUUGUUAUUGGGUUUAACAGGAGCGUAGAUGGGUUGUUAAGUCAGUUGUGAAAGUUUGCGGCUCAACCGUAAAAUGGCAAUUGAUACUGGCAGUCUUGAGUACAGUUGAGGUAGGCGGAAUUCGUGGUGUAGCGGUGAAAUGCUUAGAUAUCACGAAGAACUCCGAUUGCGAAGGCAGCUUACUAAACUGCCACUGACAUUGAUGCUCGAAAGUGUGGGUAUCAAACAGGAUUAGAUACCCUGGUAGUC